UUAGAGUUUGGAUCUGGCUCAGAACGAACGCUGGCGGCAGGCUUAACACAUGCAAGUCGAGCGCCCCGCAAGGGGAGCGGCAGACGGGUGAGUAACGCGUGGGAAUCUACCCAUCUCUACGGAAUAACUCAGGGAAACUUGUGCUAAUACCGUAUACGCCCUUUUGGGGAAAGAUUUAUCGGAGAUGGAUGAGCCCGCGUUGGAUUAGCUAGUUGGUGGGGUAAAGGCCUACCAAGGCGACGAUCCAUAGCUGGUCUGAGAGGAUGAUCAGCCACAUUGGGACUGAGACACGGCCCAAACUCCUACGGGAGGCAGCAGUGGGGAAUAUUGGACAAUGGGCGCAAGCCUGAUCCAGCCAUGCCGCGUGAGUGAUGAAGGCCUUAGGGUUGUAAAGCUCUUCACCGGAGAAGAUAAUGACGUU
rnacentral:rRNA from 1 species